CCAACAGCCCUCUUUAGGGCUACCAUCAUGUUCCAAACCAAGUUG
rfam:Pristionchus pacificus strain PS312 contig7323, whole genome shotgun sequence.